UACGUAGGGUGCGAGCGUUGUCCGGAAUUAUUGGGCGUAAAGGGCUCGUAGGCGGUUUGUCGCGUCGGGAGUGAAAACCAGGUGCUUAACACCUGGCUUGCUUUCGAUACGGGCAGACUAGAGGUAUUCAGGGGAGAACGGAAUUCCUGGUGUAGCGGUGAAAUGCGCAGAUAUCAGGAGGAACACCAGUGGCGAAGGCGGCGACCCUGGGCCAAUAUUGACGCUGAGGUGCGAAAGCGUGGGGAGCAAACAGG
rnacentral:rRNA from 1 species